ensembl:lncRNA
CAUUGGAGUGAGUACAGAUGGAUUAAGAAUAGGUUUAUGGAUAGAGAGAUUCUGGAAAUUACCAAUGUAAAUGGCCAAAGAAAAUAGUAUGAAGUGAAAUGCAAACGAAUACAUCUAUGGUAAUCUAAGGUAAUUGAUCACGGCCCCUUCCUGUGUUUGUGAAUGUAUCAGUUUCCUCAGGGCAAUGACUAGAGGUCAUCAUGGGGUGACACUGCCCCAGUGUCCAGGCACAAGUGGAGCAGACCGAGGGAGAGAGACCCUCACCUCGGCUCCAGCCCCAACCUCACCCGCCAGCAGCUCGUCUGCCUGAGGCGACCAAACCUCAGCAACAGCUGCUACUGUACAUGAACUCCACCCUGCAGUGUCUGUUGGCCUUGAAAGCCUUCUUCCAGGACUUCUGCAAGCUUGCAUUCUCUGCAGGUGCCCUCACACACACAAACACACACACACCACACACUUGGAUGUCUUGCCUCUUGCAACUUUGCAAUUCUGCUUAUUGCCACACGCUCUCCUUACGCACACACAUUAUUUAACCAACAGUUUUUGUGACAAAAACUAUCGGUAGAGUUGAAACGCGAAGGAAACACAUUGAACUUUAGAUUUGUAUUCGGUACAUGACAACUUAAGCGAAAACGUAUGUUUUGUGUGCACUAACGUCAUCACGCACUGAUUUGUAUCUGCAACGUCAGUUUAGUGGAAACACCAGUGGUGGUAAAAUAUGCAGAUUUUCUUUAUGCAUAUUUUUGAAUAUUCCCAUGACAAUCUGUCACCAAUUGGAUGAAAACCUCUACCUUUUUCGAGGACACCCAUGAGUUCAUGAGCACCUUGCUGGGUCAGAUGGCAUCUCUAGCCCCGGUGCUGCAGAAGGUGACGGCAGCGAUGGAUGGGACCUACACCUGCCCGGUGGAAACCCACUUCGGGUUCCAAAUGCUCAGCACCAGGAUCUGCAGCAGGCUGUGGAAAGCAGACGACACCCAGCUGUCUACGGAAGUUGUGCCUGGUGGCUCAGUGAAAGCCAGCCUCAAGCUCUACCAAAGAAAUCAGUGGCACUCCAAUACAUUAAAUAGUGUUAAGAUAGUAGGAUACAGGUCAUGUCUAGUGCUUAAUCUAUUUUGAUAGUUUGGGCCAACCCUUAACGACAUUGUUUUUGAAAGAAUUGCGCUUCCAUUUGGUUAUUUACAGUGUAAUGUGAAAUGUGUCAGAUUAGUGUUUCAUCUCUACCUACCUCCUCUGCUGUAGGAGGAAGAGCUGUCGUUUAGGUGUGACUGUAGGGGGAAGGCUUCUGGUCAGCGCUGGUGUUUCCAGUCCCUGUAACAGUGAGUGAGCUCUGCACUGUUGUCUGUCAUCUUGAGAUACAGUACCUGUCUGCAUGUACAAUACACUCAGCAAGUUAACAUUCGGCCAUUUGAAAUCCAUUAAUUAACUCAGUUAGAUUUUCGUGCUUGAACUCAAAAUGAACAAUUGUUAUUAUCAAUCUGUUAAUGUUACUGAAAAGAUUACCACAAUUUGCAGAUAGCCUGUUUGCUAUCGUAAAGGUGUAAGAAAUUAUAGCUAGGUAAGUUACUUACUGCAGAGUAGAGCUAGCCAUGAUCUAACUAAACUCAGCAAAAAAAUAAACGUCCUCUCACUGUCAACUGCGUUUAUUUUCAGCAAACUUAACGUGUAAAUAUUUGAACAUAACUAUGAACAUAAUAUAUGAACAUAACAAGAUUCAACAACUGAGACAAAAAACUGAACAAGUUCCAAAGACAUGUGACCAACAGAAAUGGAAUAAUGUGUCCCAGAACAAAGGGGGGUUCAAAAUUAAAAGUAGCCG